GGUGCUGUAGCUCAGUGGUAGAGCGUCUCCCUCACACGAAUGAGGCACUGGGUUUGAUCCUCAGCACUGCUU
rnacentral:tRNA from 1 species